rnacentral:rRNA from 1 species
UGGGGAAUUUUGGACAAUGGGGGAAACCCUGAUCCAGCCAUCCCGCGUGUGCGAUGAAGGCCUUCGGGUUGUAAAGCACUUUUGGCAGGAAAGAAACGUCAUGGGUUAAUACCCCGUGAAACUGACGGUACCUGCAGAAUAAGCACCGGCUAACUACGUGCCAGCAGCCGCGGUAAUACGUAGGGUGCAAGCGUUAAUCGGAAUUACUGGGCGUAAAGCGUGCGCAGGCGGUUCGGAAAGAAAGAUGUGAAAACCCAGAGCUCAACUUUGGAACUGCAUUUUUAACUACCGGGCUAGAGUGUGUCAGAGGGAGGUGGAAUUCCGCGUGUAGCAGUGAAAUGCGUAGAUAUGCGGAGGAACACCGAUGGCAAAGGCAGCCUCCUGGGAUAACACUGACGCUCAUGCACGAAAGCGUGGGGAGCAAACAGG